UUCACUCUCCUUCUUUUCAGAUUGCUUCUGAUUCUCAAGACUCCUAUCUACUCCACUGAUCACAGCGGCCACUCUCGGCUUUGGGGAAGUUUGGGAUUAUUUGCAUGGAAGAUCUUAUUCAUGAGAUCAUGACUGUUGGACCUCAUUUUAGGGAGGUCAACGACUUCCUAUGGCCAUUUAAGCUGAAGGCACCAUUGGGUGGUUUGAAGAAGAAGAGGAAUCACUAUGUUGAAGGAGGAGAUGCUGGAAACCGUGAAAAUUACACCAAUGAGCUCAUAAGAAGAAUGAACUAGAAACUUGUGGUACUUUUGGCCUUUUCUUAUUGGAAGUUUGAUAUCUUUUGCUUCUUCUUAGCAAUGAUAAAGUUGGAGAAUUCUUUUUAGGGUCAUAAAUAUGAACAAGGUGUUGAGAAAUUGAAUUUGAUAUUUGUUUUUAGACUUUGAUAGUAGAUAUCUUUAUUACCUAGAAUUUUAUUAGCAUC